AACAGAACAGAAGCAGAGCAG
rnacentral:miRNA from 1 species